AUUGAACGCUGGCGGCACGCCUAAUACAUGCAAGUCGAACGGUGUAGCAAUACACAGUGGCGCACGGGUGCGUAACACGUAUGCAACCUACCUUACAUUGGGGGAUAGCCUUUCGAAAGGGAGAUUAAUACCGCAUAAGACAGUAACUAGGCAUCUAGUAGCUGUUAAAGAUUUAUCGAUGUAAGCUUGGCAUGCGUCCAAUUAGUUAGUUGGCGAGGUAAUGGCUCACCAAGACGAUGAUUGGUAGGGGAACUGAGAGGUCAAUCCCCCACACUGGCACUGAGAUACGGGCCAGACUCCUACGGGAGGCAGCAGUAGGGAAUAUUGGGCAAUGGGCGCAAGCCUGACCCAGCCAUGCCGCGUGCAGGAAGAAGGCGUUAUGCGUUGUAAACUGCUUUUAUACAGGAAGAAACGACCCUUGCGAGGGGCAUUGACGGUACUGUAUGAAUAAGCACCGGCUAACUCCGUGCCAGCAGCCGCCGCGGUAA
rnacentral:rRNA from 1 species